rnacentral:rRNA from 1 species
CCUACGGGUGGCAGCAGUCGAGAAUCAUUCACAAUGGGGGCAACCCUGAUGGUGCGACGCCGCGUGGGGGAAUGAAGGUCUUCGGAUUGUAAACCUCUGUCAUGUGGGAGCAAAUUAAAAAGAUAGUACCACAAGAGGAAGAGACGGCUAACUCUGUGCCAGCAGCCGCGGUAAUACAGAGGUCUCAAGCGUUGUUCGGAAUCACUGGGCGUAAAGCGUGCGUAGGCUGUUUCGUAAGUCGUGUGUGAAAGGGGCGGGCUCAACCCGCGGACGGCACAUGAUACUGCGAGACUAGAGUAAUGGAGGGGGAACCGGAAUUCGCGGUGUAGCAGUGAAAUGCGUAGAUAUCGAGAGGAACACUCGUGGCGAAGGCAGGUUCCUGGACAUUAACUGACGCUGAGGCACGAAGGCCAGGGGAGCGAAAGGGAUUAGAUACCCGGGUAGUC